rnacentral:snRNA from 1 species
GGAUGUGAGGGUGAUCUGGCUGCGACUUCUGUCACCCCAUUGAUCACCAGAGUUGAUUCGGCUGAUAUGGCUGGCUAAGUGGGUGUCCCCUUCCUCCCUCAAUGAUCCAUGUGUGUCCCUUUCGAAGCUGUGCGCUUGGUUGAAGAGGAUAACCACCCCUGAUAGAAAAGGACCAUUCCUCAGUCAAGGGUAUAUGAGUAGUUGCGCUCCCUUGCUAGAACCUCCAAACAAGCUCUCUAAGGCCAGGAAAGUGAUGUGAAAUAACUUGUUUAUGCUUUUAUGGCUGUUUAUCUCUGGAAAGGCCCCAAAAG